AUUGAACGCUGGCGGCAUGUCUUACACAUGCAAGUCGAACGGCAGCACGGGAGCAAUCCUGGUGGCGAGUGGCGAACGGGUGAGUAAAGUAUCGGAACGUGCCCAGUCGUGGGGGAUAACGUAGCGAAAGUUACGCUAAUACCGCAUACGAUCUAUGGAUGAAAGCGGGGGAUCGCAAGACCUCGCGCGAUUGGAGCGGCCGAUAUCAGAUUAGGUAGUGGGUGGGGUAAAGGCUCACCAAGCCGACGAUCUGGAGCUGGUCUGAGAGGACGACCAGCCACACUGGGACUGAGACACGGCCCAGACUCCUACGGGAGGCAGCAGUGGGGAAUUUUGGACAAUGGGCGAAAGCCUGAUCCAGCCAUGCCGCGUGCAGGAUGAAGGCCUUCGGGUUGUAAACUGCUUUUGUACGGAACGAAAAGGUUUGGCCUAAUAAGCUGAGCUCAUGACGGUACCGUAAGAAUAAGCACCGGCUAACUACGUGCCAGCCGCCGCAGUAA
rnacentral:rRNA from 1 species